UACGAAGGGGGCUAGCGGUGCUCGGAAUCACUGGGCGGAAAGCGCACGUAGGCGGACUCUUAAGUCGGUGGUGAAAUCCUGGAGCUCAACUCCAGAACUGCCUUCGAUACUGGGAGUCUCGAGUCCGGGAGAGGUGAGUGGAACUGCGAGUGUAGAGGUGAAAUUCGUAGAUAUUCGCAAGAACACCAGUGGCGAAGGCGGCUCACUGGCCCGGUACUGACGCUGAGGUGCGAAAGCGUGGGGAGCAAACAGG
rnacentral:rRNA from 1 species